rnacentral:rRNA from 1 species
UGCCAGCCGCCGCGGUAAUACGGAGGGUGCAAGCGUUACUCGGAAUCACUGGGCGUAAAGAGCGUGUAGGCGGGUUAAUAAGUCAGAUGUGAAAGCCAAUAGCUCAACUAUUGAACUGCAUUUGAAACUGUAAACCUAGAAUAUGGGAGAGGUAGAUGGAAUUUCUGGUGUAGGGGUAAAAGCCGUAGAGAUCAGAAGGAAUACCGAUUUCGAAGGCGAUCUACUGUAACAUUAUUGACGCUGAGACGCCAACGCUUUGUGCGCAAACAGACUUCGAUC